CUCAGAUUCGAAUUAUAAUGUGAUAAUUCAGAAAUUGAGCCAUCACAUUAUCAUAUAUCAGCUGUUAUCACAGUCAUACAUCGUGAAAAAGGAGAUUACAACACAUUUACUUUACAACUCUUAGUUAACAAGCCUAUUACAUCGUUUUACUAGCGGAAACAUACACGAAUCUUUAUCAGAGUUGAUGUAGCGCGUCAACGGUGAAGGCUCCUCCUUCACGGGCAAUCAUCAGAGUCGGCGUAGUUUAUCAGCGGGCGUAGCUUUCAUCUCCGAACCAAACUUGAGCGCAGGAACGAGACCACCUAAUCCUUCUAUUCUCCGUGGUUAUCGUCUUAGACCACGUUCAACACCUGCUAAACAAUUUUCAGUACGAUUUGUACUGGCCACUGGCUCCCACCCUAUGCUUUUGCGUAAGCUUUGUGGUAAGUGGAAUGCAAAGGGGUAGAUCAAGAGGCCUAUAAAUAUGGUUGUAGUCUUUCCUAUGCAAGUUCAUCAUUAUUUAAUAAUAAUAUUCAUCAGGUUUUAAUCCAUCUCAACCACACAUCCAUCCAUCCAUCCAUCCAUCCAUCACACACAUCUCACCACACUCUCACUCUCUAGGCGGCAAGUACGACUCCCGCUCGUGCCUUGCCUCAACGGCCAACGCCGGAUCCAACACAAACCCAGGGGAAGGUAGAAGGGACUCCUCUCUCUAGUCAAGUGAAGCGGAAACAUAGGAAAGGUCCAUAGCCGAAAACGGCAUAUGUAUCGAUCGAUCAACCAGAAACUCUGCAGAGGUUUGCACUAACCACAAGAUCACCAUCAUCGGUGGUGCGCCCCACCUAGGCUGAUGCCGGGCUGCCUUCCAACUAAGUACGAUGCCACCCUACCACUCAGAACUGGGACCAUACCGGAGUACCACCGGUACGCUGAGACUGUGAGGCGUAGUACCGGGCCCCCAAAGGUCACUACGCUGUCUUAGGAGGGUGUGGGUCCUCAUGCCCGUACCUCCCUACACUGUCUACCAACAACCUAGUAGUAGUGGCACCGCCCUAACUGGUCGUACAUCCGUCUCCUCCCCAUAAGAGCGAGUGGGGUGCAAGGCUUCCUACGAACCGGUUCUCAGGACAUCUCAGUCCUUAGGGUGACCGAACAGGACAUCUUCACGAGAGGCCAACCGAUGCCCCGCUCGACGGGACAUCCGAUUACCCCGUGCUAAACAGCACCUCCCAUCCCGGUGCUUCGUCCCACGAAGACACUCCACUCCGGGACCUCUCCCUGUCACAUGUACCCGCCACAGGUAUCUCUCGUGGAGAACGCCUAGGUAGCGUCCUCCGGCAAGACUUGUCCCAAGACUCGUCGUAGAUCCUGCUCGGUCGACUCGACCCUCACCACACACCCAAGACACACGCCAAGAUCUCCCCAAAUCCAUUAUCCAUUUCUUAACCAGUUAUCGGCACCACGUGCCUGAUCCACUCACAUCCAAUCCUCCACAAUGCAUCACAUCACAGAUAUAAUGCGUAGUAGAAGGAGUAGCAAGUAGUUUGCAAGCGUCUAACCUAACAGCGGGUGUGCGAGGGUUAUAGGUUGCAACAAGGCAAUGGCUCACAAGCAUUUCUACCAUGCAACCUAUCUCAAUUCAUUUGCAUAAAAGUAAAGCACUAGCAUCUACUUAUUGUAUGUCUAAUAGGACUCUACGAGGUUGGGUGGGACGUGGCACCUGUCGAGUGACAUUUCCAAGAUCCUCAGUUCACUUGUAGUUGUACUCAUCCAAGGUCUUUCUCCUAUCUGCAUGUCCUUCCUUCAACUGGUUCCGAUUCGAUCAACGCUACCCGAAGCAACUACCUCGUAAACGACAAACAAGGCGAAACAAUCAAUCCACUAGUCCUAGAAAGACUGUGAAAAGAGGCGACAAAACACUGAAGGACAACUACACUGAAAGAGCACCAAAAGGAAAACGGCUUAGCCCUCUCGGUGGGUGUCUGAUCCCUGGGCUAAAAGAAACGGAAAUGGUUGUUCACCAAGUACAAGCUUGAGUCUUAGCCUAGCCGGUACUUCCCAGGUCGAUCGUGUCGACCUGUACGGCUUUAAUAAAUGGCUUAGACUCUAACUCAUUCUAAGCAAACACCACAGCUUACGGUCUUUCGAUCCAAGUGUCAUAGAGAUCGACAGGAAUCGUAAAGACUAUGAGCACGAGAAGUUCCGGUCUCUCUCAACCCAUACGCCAUUGUAGUUGGCGAGAGCCAAGAGAGGGUGGAAUAAAGAGAGAAGAAGAAGGGAAGUGGUCUACUCCUUCCAAUACUCAUGCCACGGCAAAAGACAGGGCAUAAGAGGGAGUGACACACCAAGGACACGAGUGCUCAAACUACUUGUAGGGCGCCACAACCUAGGUGCACUAAAUGCACUAAGACAUCACUAAGGUUCUUAGCGGUGCGGUUGUCACCGCGAGAACCAAAGAAAUGCUACGGUUGAUUAAGUGCAAGCAUACAAGAGUUUAAGCACAAAGAACCAAAAAGGCAGGGAAGGGAUACGAGAUUCAUCUUCGUGUGACCCACUCGCCAUAGCAACAGCGAGAAUCGCGGGAUUGGAAAUGAAACAUCAAACAAGCAAAAGAGGCUUAAUCCACAUCUUACUGGAUCGAUGGGAUUGAGAACAAGAGAGAAGAAGAAUGAAUCACACUCUUUCGACCAACUCGCCAUGGAACGAACGACGAUUGGUUAAAAGAGAUACGACCCCACGAUCUACUCCAACUCAUAACACUUCUCAACCUAGGUGCUUCUGAAUCGGCACAAGGUCAUUUCCGUAGUUUCAGGCGAUGCGGUUGUCACCGCGGAAACCACGGGAAAUGCCCGGGUCUAGGUGGUAUAAGCAUACGAGAUAGAUAAGAUAAACAUGCGACAAAAAUAGGAUAGGCUCGAUGGCCAUGGCGAGGCGUCUCACGACCAUGAGCUUCACCUAACGAGUUGGCUUCCGACUGUUCCACGACGGUUGUCCCCUAAUUCGUAUCCCACUCGACUAGGUCAUUUAGGUCUCGGGUGUGCGGGUAAGAACCACGUCGUUAAUGACAUCGAGUCCACGAUGACCACGUCCGAGGGACGGUAAUGGGAGCUAACGACCGUAGCGCAACGAAGUCAACUAAACAUAGGGAAUGAGUUACGCUCGGCAACGCGAUCACGGCGGGACGAACCCACGAUCGAAAUGAUCGAACGCACUACCAUUUCCCUAACCGGCUCGAAGGCUCGGUCCUCAGGCAACGACAAACACAUAAAGAAACACGACUCGACCAAAGACAACGCAAGGGACACGAUGACAACUCGGAGUAGCACAUUUCCAUAGCACGAGAGAUAGAUAGAGAUAGAUAAAUAAAUAGACCGGCGCGAAGGCACGGCACAGGCAUGGAUAUAUAUCAUAUAACAAGUUUAUACAAAGAUGCAAGAAAGGACAAGGGUUUUGCCGACGUCGGAGACGAUGUCGGCCAGGUUCAAGGUUCGACCUUGCUGGACACGAGGGGCGCAGAUCAGCUGCAAGCCUGCUGCUGGCCGGGAUGUGCAGCAGGCAUCGGGACGGCGUCACAUCUUCGGCAAGGGCACGGUGAGGCCACUGCUUCCCUGCGCAGUGGAAGAACACGACACGAAGGCCGGUCUCAGCGAGGCGAAAUGGGAAAGGGAAAACUUUGGUCUGGGCGAGGCUCACCGGGGGUUUAGCUUGGCAAGGUCGUGCACAGGAGUUCGACGCGGUGACCGUGGCGAGGACGGGGACGUCGCGAGGGUGACCGUAGCAUGGCGAGGGCGUGGACGCGUCAGGGCUCGACUCCGUCGUGGGCGCGGAGGCGGCUCACGGCUUGGAGCAGGGCUUGACGAGGUUGGAGUUGCUGUGGUGGCUCGGCGUCGUAGGUCGCGGACGGAGGCUGGGGCGACAGCGCUCGACAGAGUGGAGCAGGGCCGAGCCGGCGCGGUCGUGGGUGGCUUCGGCGUCGCGGUGCUCUGCGUCGCGGUGGUCGGCUCGGCGAGGUCGCGCACAGGAGCUCGACGCGGCGGGCGGCUCCGGUGCGAGGACGGCGUUGCGGGGCCGGGGCUCGGCGCGGCGAGGACGAUGCGGGGGCGACGUCGUGACCACGGCGAGGCGCGGCGGCUCCUGCUCGGUGCAGAAGGCUCGACGCAGAGGAGGGAGCUCGUGGACUGAAGCAGGGGGCGCGACGACCAGCUCCGUUGGGGUCGCGGCCGACGUUGUUGCUGCUCGGCGAGGUGGCGUCCGCGGCUUCAAGGGCGAGGGCGCACAGCGCCUUGGGCGCGACGAGGUCGAGGGCGCGAACGCGUCGGCGCUGGCGAGCAAGGGAGAAGGGGAGGGUGGCGGCGCUGGGAACGGAGCAGAGAGCGGCGGCGGCCAUGGCUCUUAUAGGGGCGCGGGCUAGGGUUCCGAGGUCGUCUCGACGUCCGCGCCAUCGAUGCGACAGCCGAGACACGCGGCAGCAGAUCCCGUGUUGCUUGUACGGACGCCGAGGCAGGGGCAGGUGCGCGCGGGUGCGUGUCCAUGGCGGCGGCGGUGGCGCUCCUGGGAGCCAGGGGCGCGCCUAGGGCUGGCGCUGGGGCGCCUGUGCUGGGCCAGGCAGGCCGCGGCUUGGGCCAGCUGGGCCGCGCGCACAUGCCUGCGGGGGGUACGUGGGCCGAAAGGAGCAAGGCGUGAGCAGGCCGGCUGGGGAGGGGAGCGAGCUGGGCCGGGGAGAGGAGGCAGGGAGCUGGGCCGCGAGGCUGGGCCACAGUGCCGCCGUGGGCCAAAAGGAGAAGAAAAGAAUGGAGAGAAAGAGAGAAAUUCGGCCCAAGAGAAAAGAAAAGGAUUUUUCCAUUUUCGAUUAGGCACAAUGGAAUGAAAACAAAGGAGUUUGGAGAAGGAUUCAAAAAGAGAUCAGAUAUAAUCCAAUGAAGUUUGAGACGUACUCCAAUGAAAAGGUUGAGAAGGGAUUCGCUUCGCCUUUGAGAUAGGCUCAACAGAGAUUCAGAAAGACUUGCUACGGAUUUGUGCACUCCAAACCCUAAUUAAGACUCAACUCCAAAUCGACUCACAAACAAAGGCACUCGUCUACAAACAAAUCUACAUGUAUGCUACGAUUUGUUAGCCGGUUAGUCUCGAGUUAGACCUAAAAACUAUAUGCCUCACAUGAUUACAGGAAAAAUUUUAAAAAGCUCGUAUUUCUGGUUUUCGUAAAAAUCCGGGAUGUUACAGACCACCCCCCUUACAGGGAUCUCGUCCCCGAGAUUUAGGCGUUGCUCGGGUGACGAGUCGAGGGUGUUGUUCCCAAAGCUUUUCUUACUUCUGAGAUGUUUCAUCUUCAGUGUGAUCGCUCCCCAAACCUUUUCCAAAAUGGGAGUGAGUCAUUUUCUGGGUGUAUCCAAGGCUUAGUCGCGGGUGUUAGGUAUCCAAAUUCUUACACCGAGGCACUAGGUAUCCAAGAAUCGCACGGGGUUGAUGAACAUCUAGCUCUGGCAGGCUUAAACAUAGCCAGGGUUGUUGGCCUUCACCAGCUAUUUUUCAUGCAUCACUCUUUGCAAAAAGCUUUUGAAAGAAAGGUUUUUCAGAAAACAGGUUUCGUGAAAGCAGUUUUACAAAGUCAAGGUUUUUUUUUUAGACUUCAAAUUGAAGAGAGCUUUUGAAGGGGGUUGAAAUCAAUGCAAGUUUUGAAAACCAAAUCGUUUGAAGAUUUUGUUAUAAAAGAUUUCAAUCAAGAGAUUUUGAAACUCUUUUAGCUUACAAAAACAAGGCGUUGCCAUUUUUUUUUAAUUUAUUUAUUUGAAUUAAACAAACUAGUUUUGAAAAUGACUAGAAAUCAUUUCUCAUUUUGAUAGGUAAAGCUUUCACAACCAAAUCUUGUUUUUCAACAUUUUUUUUGAAACUUGUAAGUUCAUUUUGUUGAUGAAAAAGCAAAACUUUUAUUUUAUUAUACAUAUAUAUUUUUGGAAGAGGUUUUGUCACACCUUUUGCAAGAUGAUUUGUUUUCAAUUUGUCUCAUAAAAUAGCUUUUGAAUAAAAUUAAGUUGAGAAAGGAGUUAAAAUUGCUUUAUUUGUGAAAAGGGAAGGUAUUGGGAGAGUUUUGAAACACUUUUCCAUUUGAAAUAGAGAUGCUUUUGUUAAAAAGGGAAAUAUUUUAACCAAAAAGGAGAGAAAAUUUUUCAAACCAAGUGGCAAUUUUGAAGACAAGUUUAGUUGGAAGCCAAAAACAGUUUUGAAAUAGAUGGGCAAGACAUGAUGCACCAGCUUUACACCCAUUUCAGCUCUGUUAGCCAGGGUCACCUAUCUAGUCUCAGGACGGUCUUAGGUUUAGUCGGCUAGGUUGGAUGGGAUCCAGAGUCUUUCUCGCAUAAAACAGGUUCUAUGACUUACACUCAGACAACAAGAAGCAGAAGAAAUGCAACAACAUAAGAUCCAAGCACUCAAACAGCAUUACAACUCCUAAUGCAUAGUGUUGACUUGAGGCGACUCACAGACCUUCAAAGUCUCACACGAUUACCGAUCUAGCGUGGGCGGGUAUGGGAAAGGAUUCCAAUGGUCAACUUUAUGAAACAGGGAGGUCAGUUAGCAGCAGAAUUCAAGGCGGAGGGGGAAAACAAGUGUUAGCAUCUAUAACUCUACAAAAGAUAGAAUGUUUGGCUUCUAAACUAGUGUUUGGUCCUAAAGGUCUCGUCCUAGGGUCAAGUAUGGCUCUGAUACCAACUGAAACGACCUAGAUUUUUCCACAAAGGGGAAAAAUCCUCAGAUUCGAAUUAUAAUGUGAUAAUUCAGAAAUUGAGCCAUCACAUUAUCAUAUAUCAGCUGUUAUCACAGUCAUACAUCGUGAAAAAGGAGAUUACAACACAUUUACUUUACAACUCUUAGUUAACAAGCCUAUUACAUCGUUUUACUAGCGGAAACAUACACGAAUCUUUAUCAGAGUUGAUGUAGCGCGUCAACGGUGAAGGCUCCUCCUUCACGGGCAAUCAACAGAGUCGGCGUAGUUUAUCAGCGGGCGUAGCUUUCAUCUCCGAACCAAACUUGAGCGCAGGAACGAGACCACCUAAUCCUUCUAUUCUCCGUGGUUAUCGUCUUAGACCACGUUCAACACCUGCUAAACAAUUUUCAGUACGAUUUGUACUGGCCACUGGCUCCCACCCUAUGCUUUUGCGUAAGCUUUGUGGUAAGUGGAAUGCAAAGGGGUAGAUCAAGAGGCCUAUAAAUAUGGUUGUAGUCUUUCCUAUGCAAGUUCAUCAUUAUUUAAUAAUAAUAUUCAUCAGGUUUUAAUCCAUCUCAACCACACAUCCAUCCAUCCAUCCAUCCAUCCAUCACACACAUCUCACCACACUCUCACUCUCUAGGCGGCAAGUACGACUCCCGCUCGUGCCUUGCCUCAACGGCCAACGCCAGAUCCAACACAAACCCAGGGGAAGGUAGAAGGGACUCCUCUCUCUAGUCAAGUGAAGCGGAAACAUAGGAAAGGUCCAUAGCCGAAAACAGCAUAUGUAUCGAUCGAUCAACCAGAAACUCUGCAGAGGUUUGCACUAACCACAAGAUCACCAUCAUCGGUGGUGCGCCCCACCUAGGCUGAUGCCGGGCUGCCUUCCAACUAAGUACGAUGCCACCCUACCACUCAGAACUGGGACCAUACCGGAGUACCACCGGUACGCUGAGACUGUGAGGCGUAGUACCGGGCCCCCAAAGGUCACUACGCUGUCUUAGGAGGGUGUGGGUCCUCAUGCCCGUACCUCCCUACACUGUCUACCAACAACCUAGUAGUAGUGGCACCGCCCUAACUGGUCGUACAUCUGUCUCCUCCCCAUAAGAGCGAGUGGGGUGCAAGGCUUCCUACGAACCGGUUCUCAGGACAUCUCAGUCCUUAGGGUGACCGAACAGGACAUCUUCACGAGGGGCCAACCGAUGCCCCGCUCGACGGGACAUCCGAUUACCCCGUGCUAAACAGCACCUCCCAUCCCGGUGCUUCGUCCCACGAAGACACUCCACUCCGGGACCUCUCCCUGUCACAUGUACCCGCCAUAGGUAUCUCUCGUGGAGAACGCCCAGGUAGCGUCCUCCGGCAAGACUUGUCCCAAGACUCGUCGUAGAUCCUGCUCGGUCGACUCGACCCUCACCACACACCCAAGACACACGCCAAGAUCUCCCCAAAUCCAUUAUCCAUUUCUUAACCAGUUAUCGGCACCACGUGCCUGAUCCACUCACAUCCAAUCCUCCACAAUGCAUCACAUCACAGAUAUAAUGCGUAGUAGAAGCAGUAGCAAGUAGUUUGCAAGCGUCUAACCUAACAGCGGGUGUGCGAGGGUUAUAGGUUGCAACAAGGCAAUGGCUCACAAGCAUUUCUACCAUGCAACCUAUCUCAAUUCAUUUGCAUAAAAGUAAAGCACUAGCAUCUACUUAUUGUAUGUCUAAUAGGAUUCUACGAGGUUGGGUGGGACGUGGCACCUGUCGAGUGACAUUUCCAAGAUCCUCAGUUCACUUGUAGUUGUACUCAUCCAAGGUCUUUCUCCUAUCUGCAUGUCCUUCCUUCAACUGAUUCCGAUUCGAUCAACGCUACCCGAAGCAACUACCUCGUAAACGACAAACAAGGCGAAACAAUCAAUCCACUAGUCCUAGAAAGACUGUGAAAAGAGGCGAC
rnacentral:lncRNA from 1 species